rnacentral:rRNA from 1 species
AUGCAAAGAACUUUGAAAAGAGAGUUAAAUAGUACCUGAAAUUGCUGAAAGGGAAGCGAAGGAAACCAGUGUCAGUUGCGUCAUAUUUCCCCAUUCGCUUGCGGUUGGGGCGCUGUGGCCAGCGUGGUCAUUGUUGGUUGAAGGCGUCGGAUACUGGAUAAGGGAGUUGACCUUAUCUGCUUGCGUUGCCUUUGUCUGACKAUGGCGAAAUGGUUUUCUUUUCCCCGUCUAGAAACACGGACCAAGGAGUCUAACAUAUGUGCGAGUACAGGGGUGUCAAACCCCGGUGCGCAAUGAAAGUGACAGUGGCUGGAACGUUUGUUGCACAGUCCGCCGGCCUCAAUCCCUCGGGAGAACGGUCUGAGUGUGAGCAUACAUGUUGGGACCCGAAAGAUGGUGAACUAUGCCUGAAUAGGGUGAAGCCAGGGGAAACUCUGGUGGAGGCUCGUAGCGAUUCUGACGUGCAAAUCGAUCGUCAAAUUUGGGUAUAGGGGCGAAAGACUAAUCGAACUAUCUAGUAGCUGGUUCCCUCCGAAAUUUCCCUCAGGAUAGCUGCGAUCGGAUAACCAAUUUUAUCA